UACGUAGGGUGCAAGCGUUGUCCGGAAUUAUUGGGCGUAAAGAGCUCGUAGGCGGUCUGUCGCGUCUGCUGUGAAAACUCAGGGCUUAACCCUGAGCUUGCAGUGGGUACGGGCGGGCUGGAGUUCGGUAGGGGAGACUGGAAUUCCUGGUGUAGCGGUGAAAUGCGCAGAUAUCAGGAGGAACACCGGUGGCGAAGGCGGGUCUCUGGGCCGAUACUGACGCUGAGGAGCGAAAGCGUGGGGAGCGAACAGG
rnacentral:rRNA from 1 species